GGGCGGAGUUACAGAACAUUCUUGCGAAGGGGCGUGGCUUAAUAGAAUAUUCCUGAAAGGGCACAGAGUUCAACAGUCACAACAUCUUGAUACUCUGGUAAGAAGGGCUGCCCAGAAGCACAAACUGUUACAUUUUCGGAAGAAAACAUUUUUUUGCAGAUGAAAACUCUGAGGCAAGGCAACAGAGACAACUUGUGCUGGCAUGAAGACUUAGGGUCUUUGUAUUUAGUGACGACCAAGUUAAUUAACCUUCCAGAGACACGUCUUAGAAAAAGCAGACCUGCAUGGUUUCAUGGAAGGAGAAGAGAAGAGAGGAGAAGAUAGAGGGGAAUAGGAGCCAAAAUGGAAGCGACAACCAAGGUGGUCCCGGCCUGGCGAAGUAAAGGGAUAGUGUCUUGGCUUAUUCAUCUAUUCACUAGAAAGC
rnacentral:lncRNA from 1 species